GAUGAACGCUGGCGGCGUGCCUAAUACAUGCAAGUCGAGCGAACAGACGAGGAGCUUGCUCCUCUGACGUUAGCGACGGACGGGUGAGUAACACGUGGAUAACCUACCUAUAAGACUGGGAUAACUUCGGGAAACCGGAGCUAAUACCGGAUAAUAUAUUGAACCGCAUGGUUCAAUAGUGAAAGACGGUUUUGCUGUCACUUAUAGAUGGAUCCGCGCCGCAUUAGCUAGUUGGUAAGGUAACGGCUUACCAAGGCAACGAUGCGUAGCCGACCUGAGAGGGUGAUCGGCCACACUGGAACUGAGACACGGUCCAGACUCCUACGAGAGGCAGCAGUAGGGAAUCUUCCGCAAUGGGCGAAAGCCUGACGGAGCAACGCCGCGUGAGUGAUGAAGGUCUUCGGAUCGUAAAACUCUGUUAUUAGGGAAGAACAAAUGUGUAAGUAACUAUGCACGUCUUGACGGUACCUAAUCAGAAAGCCACGGCUAACUACGUG
rnacentral:rRNA from 1 species